GAUGAACGCUAGCGGCAGGCCUAAUACAUGCAAGUCGAACGGUGUCUUCGGACAUAGUGGCGCACGGGUGCGUAACACGUAUGCAACCUACCUUACAUUGGGGGAUAGCCUUUCGAAAGGGAGAUUAAUACCGCAUAAGACAGUAACUAGGCAUCUAGUAGCUGUUAAAGACUUAUCGAUGUAAGCUGGGCAUGCGUCCAAUUAGCUAGUUGGUGAGGUAACGGCUCACCAAGGCAAUGAUUGGUAGGGGAACUGAGAGGUCAAUCCCCCACACUGGCACUGAGAUACGGGCCAGACUCCUACGGGAGGCAGCAGUAGGGAAUAUUGGGCAAUGGACGCAAGUCUGACCCAGCCAUGCCGCGUGCAGGAUGAAGGCGUUAUGCGUUGUAAACUGCUUUUAUACAGGAAGAAACGACUCUUGCGAGAGGCAUUGACGGUACUGUAUGAAUAAGCACCGGCUAACUCCGUGCCAGCAGCCGCCGUAAGAC
rnacentral:rRNA from 1 species